GACAGAGGGUGCAAACGUUGUUCGGAAUUACUGGGCGUAAAGAGCUCGUAGGCGGUCUGUCGCGUCGAUCGUGAAAACUUGGGGCUUAACCCUGAGCUUGCGGUCGAUACGGGCAUGACUGGAGUUCGGCAGGGGAGACUGGAAUUCCUGGUGUAGCGGUGAAAUGCGCAGAUAUCAGGAGGAACACCGGUGGCGAAGGCGGGUCUCUGGGCCGAUACUGACGCUGAGGAGCGAAAGCGUGGGGAGCGAACAGG
rnacentral:rRNA from 1 species